rnacentral:misc_RNA from 1 species
GUCUGCAACAACAAUGAUCACUACCUACGAGUUUCUGAAACGGCUCUCAGCGAAGAACCAAGAGGUUUUGCAAUGACAAAAAAAAAUCUGAAAAAAAAUAAUGAGAAAAAAAAACGGAGGUUUUUUUUUUCUUGUAUCUGAUCUCUGUCUAAAUGCUGUCCCUUGCUCUCAACUUGCCAUGUUUUCUCUUUUUUUGCUUUCUUUGUGUUACCCUGCCUGCCUGAGAUGACCAAUGUAUGAGUAUGCAGGUUUUCACUAUACAUAAAUUUUUUUUUCUUUCUUUGCUUAUCAGUAAUGUUACAAUAUCUAAUUCUCUGGAAAUUCGGUUUUGUUUGCGGUAUGAAUUCAAGAAUGUCUAAGGAUUAAUAUUUCCAAACAAUUUGCACUUUUCUU